AUGAUCACUUCAGCAGCACACACACUAAAACUGAAACAAUGCAGAUAUGGCCCCUGCACAAGCGUGACACGCAAAUUUGUGAAACAUUCCAUAAAAAG
rnacentral:snRNA from 1 species